rnacentral:rRNA from 1 species
AGAACCUGAAACCGUGUGCUUACAAGUAGUCAGAGCCCGUUAAUGGGUGAUGGCGUGCCUUUUGUAGAAUGAACCGGCGAGUUACGAUUUGAUGCAAGGUUAAGCAGUAAAUGUGGAGCCGUAGCGAAAGCGAGUCUGAAUAGGGCGUUUAGUAUUUGGUCGUAGACCCGAAACCAGGUGAUCUACCCUUGGUCAGGUUGAAGUUCAGGUAACACUGAAUGGAGGACCGAACCGACUUACGUUGAAAAGUGAGCGGAUGAACUGAGGGUAGCGGAGAAAUUCCAAUCGAACCUGGAGAUAGCUGGUUCUCUCCGAAAUAGCUUUAGGGCUAGCCUCAAGUGAUGAUUAUUGGAGGUAGAGCACUGUUUGGACGAGGGGCCCCUCUCGGGUUACCGAAUUCAGACAAACUCCGAAUGCCAAUUAAUUUAACUUGGGAGUCAGAACAUGGGUGAUAAGGUCCGUGUUCGAAAGGGAAACAGCCCAGACCACCAGCUAAGGUCCCAAAAUAUAUGUUAAGUGGAAAAGGAUGUGGCGUUGCCCAGACAACUAGGAUGUUGGCUUAGAAGCAGCCAUCAUUUAAAGAGUGCGUAAUAGCUCACUAGUCGAGUGACACUGCGCCGAAAAUGUACCGGGGCUAAACAUAUUACCGAAGCUGUGGAUUGUCCUUUGGACAAUGGUAGGAGAGCGUUCUAAGGGCGUUGAAGCAUGAUCGCAAGGACAUGUGGAGCGCUUAGAAGUGAGAAUGCCGGUGUGAGUAGCGAAAGACGGGUGAGAAUCCCGUCCACCGAUUG